AUGAAUUAUUUAUUGACUAUUUCAACACAUUCAUUUUAUUUUAUGGUCCUUUGGCUUAUAACAACUUUAUGCAUUUUCAGUAACCCCGUCAGCAACAGCGAUACAACAGGAAUCAAUAACCCCGCCAGCACCACAGACACGGCAAUCAAGAACCCCGCCAGCACCACAGACACGGCAAUCGAGUAUGUUUAAGCUUACAAAACAAUAAGCAACAAGUUAAAUAAUAUUUUUAUUAUUUUAAUAAUAAUAUUCUAACAAAUUGCACUAUAUCUUAUUUAUUUUGUACUUGAUAUUGUUUAUUUGUACAUUUGUUUUAUUGUAUGGUCCAUUUGGAUUAUAAUAACUUCAUUUAUUUUUAGUAAUCCCGCCAGCACAACAGACACGGAAAAUAAGUAUGUUUAAGUUUACAAAACAAUAAUAAAUAUGUUAAAUAAUAUUUUUAUUAUUUUAAUAAUAAGAUUCUAACAAAUAUGAACUAUAUUUCACUGUCUACAUAAGUGGCCUAAAGUUAUUUUUAUUUAAGCAGUGUAAUCCGGAAACUAAGAAUGGUCGAUAAGAAGUUUUGAUAUUUUAUUUUGGUGAUUUUUAAAAUAUAAAUCUGUAGGCUAGAAAGAGAGGCACCUAUGCAAUACUAAUUUGAUUGAUGUGAAUUACUAAGGCACAAUUAAUUUUUACACAAUUACAGUAAUAAGUCACUCGAAAAAUUACCAUACUUAUUUUGUAUUUA